rnacentral:rRNA from 1 species
UGGGGAAUUUUGGACAAUGGCGAAAGCCUGAUCCAGCAAUGCCGCGUGUGUGAAGAAGGCCUUCGGGUUGUAAAGCACUUUUUGUCCGGAAAGAAAUCCUUGGCUCUAAUACAGUCGGGGGAUGACGGUACCGGAAGAAUAAGCACCGGCUAACUACGUGCCAGCAGCCGCGGUAAUACGUAGGGUGCAAGCGUUAAUCGGAAUUACUGGGCGUAAAAGCGUGCGCAGGCGGUUUGCUAAAGACCGAUGUGAAAAUCCCCGGGCUCAAACCUGGGAACUGCAUUGGUGACUGGCAGGCUAGAGUAUGGCAGAGGGGGGUAGAAUUCCACGUGUAGCAGUGAAAAUGCGUAGAGAUGUGGAGGAAUACCGAUGGCGAAGGCAGCCCCCUGGGCCAAAUACUGACGCUCAUGCACGAAAAGCGUGGGGAGCAAAACAGGAUUAGAUACCCUGGUAGUCCACGCCCUAAAACGAUGUCAACUAGUUGUUGGGGAUUCAUUUCCUUAGUAAACGUAGCUAACGCGUGAAGUUGACCGCCUGGGGAGUACGGUCGCAAAGAUUAAAAACUCAAAUGAAUUGAACGGGGUCAAUAGCUGUUUCCU